rnacentral:rRNA from 1 species
UUAAACGAGAGUUUGAUCCUGGCUCAGAAUCAACGCUGGCGGCGUGCCUCAGACAUGCAAGUCGAACGCGAAAGACCCCUUCGGGGGUUGAGUAGAGUGGCGCACGGGUGAGUAACACGUGAGUAAUUUACCUUCUCGGUGGGGAAUAACAACCGGAAACGGUUGCUAAUACCGCAUAAUGCAGCGGCAUCUUCGGAUGACAGUUGUUAAAGCGGGGGAUCGGAGCAAUCCGACCUCGUGCCGGAAGAGAAGCUCGCGGCAGAUUAGGUAGUUGGUAGGGUAACGGCCUACCAAGCCUGCGAUCUGUAGCCGGCCUGAGAGGGCGGUCGGCCACACUGACACUGAACAUACGGGUCAGACUCCUACGGGAGGCAGCAGUCGGGAAUUUUGGGCAA